GCUCCUCAGCGGCAUGACUGGAUUUCCUGUGUGAGUGCUUGAAAGCUGCUGCCACCAGCCCACAGCAGUUCAAGCAGGGAUACCUAAAGAUUUUGGAGACGUCCAAUAAACUUUGGAGCCUAAAUUUCUUCCCAUGAGAUUGUAAACUUCUACAGAUUGGAAAGAAGUUCCAACUUGUGCCAACAAGUAUCACUGCAAGGCAGAAAUAAGGCAGCACUGAGCUGUUGUUGGAACUCUGUCCCAGACUACUGGGAACACAGCAGAGUCAGAAGAUCACCAAAAUAUUGUUUCCAUCUUUGGACACAUCUCACCUUUGGAAUAACUUCAGGGGGAAAUACAGUGCUGCAAUAUACGAAGAGGCGCUAAUAGUUUGCUGAACUACACCCAACCCCCUGUGCACAGAGGUCUGCCGCAGCACCCACCUCACUGGAGACAAGUUCAUUCUGGUUUGGUCACCGAACACCACGGUUUUGCUCACCUUUCUUGUUAUUCCCCCGGAGGUGUUUGGGCCAGAGAGCUCUGACGGUGCAGCAAUAGGAGAUGUGCUCCAGCGGAGCUCAUGGGAACAGAGAAUGGGCUGCGGCUGCCGGCUGGAAGAGCCAUCAGCCACAAGGGGGAAGCAGCAUCCAGUGACACAAACACCAACCACAGCAGAUGAGCAUUUUGCUCUGACUGCGAUAAGUUUAGAGGUGGGGUAUCUCAGAAAUAUAAACCUGUUAUGAACUCAAGAGUGAAGAGGCAUUUUUCCAGCAGCUGAACAGUUCGGGUAAUCUCAGCACAGGGCUGUUGGGGUGCAUGACCGUAAACAGCUGCCACCACUGUUCUUACAAUCCACCAGCUCUCUCCAAACUCUUCCAUCCACAGACUCCUUGUUUCCAGAAGCACAUUUACUUUGUUCACUUCAGCUUACUUUCAGUUUUUGUUGCAGCACUCAGCUGUUUUGCUGUGAAGAGGCCAUUGCCUCUACACUACACUAAAUUUCAGAGUUACUUCUUAACGGGUCCAUCUCCUGCCUCAGGCAGUGACCAGGGAAAGCUCCUGACUAGGCAGUAAAUUAAUGACCACUAAAUGUGGCCCUUGGCAUGCAAACCAGCAAAGCCUUCAUAUCCAGCUGCACCGCAACUGCAGCUACAACCUUGCCUUUCAUCCUCUUUUCACAGCAAUAACUCAUAUUCCUUUGAUUUCACCCCAGUACCUGAACUGUUGGCCACUGUUUCUGCCUUGUAUCCUCCACAGAGGAACACUGAGUUUCCUCAUCCUCACACAGGAGUGCUCAAGCCCAUGCUUCACAGAACCAGAGGAUGGUGGAGAGCUGUGUCAAAUACAAAUAGAUGGAGGAUCCUUUAUUACAGGAACAAGGAUUUCCAGAGCGUCUGAACACUGUCGCAGAGCAGCCAGAUUGCAGUUCUUCACAGAAAGGAGGAAGAUGAGGGAAAUGAAAAGCAGCUGACAUGCAGAAUGAGACAUCUGAGGGAUUCUGGAGGAAGGCAGAACACUCUACACAACACUCUGUUGAAGGAAUGUCCCCAGUCUUUCAGAGGGAUGGUCACCUUUAACCCCACAUCUUUAGUUAAUGCUCUGCACUUACCUGUUUAACAGUGUUCUUUCCUAAGAAAAAAACUUUGUAACACAUUCUUUUCUCAGCACCAAGAUCAAAACUUUUUACAUGCCAAUUAAAAAAUUUACAAUUUGGAAAGUCUGAAUAAAGCGGCAAAUUCCAGUUCCCCCACCCCUCUUGCCCAAGUUACAAAACAGUGCAGAAAUAUGUAAAGGUUUUUAUUAAUUGUAAUUGUUUAAUAGCUCAGUGACAAUUUUAUAAUAAAAACAAGUUCAUUAAAUACUU